rnacentral:rRNA from 1 species
UACGUAGGGUGCAAGCGUUGUCCGGAAUUAUUGGGCGUAAAGAGCUCGUAGGCGGUUCGUCGCGUCGGCUGUGAAAUCCCGAGGCUCAACCUCGGGUCUGCAGUCGAUACGGGCGGACUGGAGUUCGGCAGGGGAGACUGGAAUUCCUGGUGUAGCGGUGAAAUGCGCAGAUAUCAGGAGGAACACCGGUGGCGAGGGCGGGUCUCUGGGCCGAUGACUGACGCUGAGGAGCGAAAGCGUGGGGAGCGAACAGG